CAAAAGACAAAAAAAC
rnacentral:sRNA from 1 species